GACAGAGGGGGCAAGCGUUGUCCGGAAUUAUUGGGCGUAAAGAGCUCGUAGGCGGUCUGUCACGUCGGCUGUGAAAACCCGAGGCUCAACCUCGGGCCUGCAGUCGAUACGGGCAGACUAGAGUUCGGUAGGGGAGACUGGAAUUCCUGGUGUAGCGGUGAAAUGCGCAGAUAUCAGAAGGAACACCGGUGGCGAAGGCGGGUCUCUGGGCCGAAACUGACGCUGAGGAGCGAAAGCGUGGGGAGCGAACAGG
rnacentral:rRNA from 1 species